GUCGUAACAAGGUUUCCCUAGGUGAACCUGCGGAAGGAUCAUUAACACGUAUCCAAACGUUAGAACAAUCCUGUGAAUAUUGAAUCUCAGUUCCCCGAGGGCAGAAAAAUGGGAUUCCUCGAGCAAAUCAUUGUCUUAACAAGGUUUUGAGUUUUGGGUCGCGCGUUUGCAAUUAUCCACUCCUGGUGCCCCAAGCAUCAAUCUAAAAGUGUUUGGUGAAUUGUGCAAGGGCAGCACAGUCAACGAUGGCCAUCGACCGGGGGUCGUUACUUAAGGUUGAACAUGAUGCAUGUUAAAAGCGCCCGACAAAAGUCCGACGCACCCCUAACCGAACAACUGUUAACAAUAUACCUUGGUCC
rnacentral:misc_RNA from 1 species